rnacentral:rRNA from 1 species
AGUGAACGCUGGCGGUAGGCCUAACACAUGCAAGUCGAACGGCAGCACAGUAAGAGCUUGCUCUUACGGGUGGCGAGUGGCGGACGGGUGAGGAAUACAUCGGAAUCUACUUUUUCGUGGGGGAUAACGUAGGGAAACUUACGCUAAUACCGCAUACGACCUACGGGUGAAAGCAGGGGAUCUUCUGACCUUGCGCGAUUGAAUGAGCCGAUGUCGGAUUAGCUAGUUGGCGGGGUAAAGGCCCACCAAGGCGACGAUCGGUAGCUGGUCUGAGUGGAUGGUCGGCGACACUGGAGCUGGGACACGGUCAAGACGCCUACGGGACGGAGCAGUGGGGAAUAUUGGACAAUGGGCGCAAGCCUGGUCCAGCCAUACCGCGUGGGUGAAGAAGGCCUUCGGGGUGUAAAGCCCUUUUGUUGGGAAAGAAAAGCAGCAGGUUAAUACCCCGCUGUUCUGACGGUACCCAAAGAAUAAGCACCGGCUAACUUCGUG